rnacentral:rRNA from 1 species
UACGUAGGGUGCAAGCGUUGUCCGGAAUUAUUGGGCGUAAAGAGCUCGUAGGCGGCUUGUCGCGUCGGCUGUGAAAACCUGGGGCUCAACCCCGGGCCUGCAGCCGAUACGGGCAAGCUAGAAUUCGGUAGGGGAGACUGGAAUUCCUGGUGUAGCGGUGAAAUGCGUAGAUAUCUGGAGGAACACCGGUGGCGAAGGCGGCAUCCUGGACCGACACUGACGCUGAGGAGCGAAAGCCAGGGGAGCAAACGGG